rnacentral:rRNA from 1 species
GACGAACGCUGGCGGCGUGCCUAAUACAUGCAAGUUGAGCGCUGAAGGUUGGUACUUGUACCGACUGGAUGAGCAGCGAACGGGUGAGUAACGCGUGGGGAAUCUGCCUUUGAGCGGGGGACAACAUUUGGAAACGAAUGCUAAUACCGCAUAAAAACUUUAAACACAAGUUUUAAGUUUGAAAGAUGCAAUUGCAUCACUCAAAGAUGAUCCCGCGUUGUAUUAGCUAGUUGGUGAGGUAAAGGCUCACCAAGGCGAUGAUACAUAGCCGACCUGAGAGGGUGAUCGGCCAAAUUGGGACUGAGACACGGCCAAAACUCCUACGGGAGGCAGCAGUAGGGAAUCUUCGGCAAUGGACGAAAGUCUGACCGAGCAACGCCGCGUGAGUGAAGAAGGUUUUCGGAUCGUAAAACUCUGUUGGUAGAGAAGAACGUUGGUGAGAGUGGAAAGCUCAUCAAGUGACGGUAACUACCCAGAAAGGGACGGCUAACUACGUG